rnacentral:rRNA from 1 species
GACGAACGCUGGCGGCGUGCCUAAUACAUGCAAGUAGAACGCUGAAGGAGGAGCUUGCUUCUCCGGAUGAGUUGCGAACGGGUGAGUAACGCGUAGGUAACCUGCCUGGUAGCGGGGGAUAACUAUUGGAAACGAUAGCUAAUACCGCAUAACAGUAGAUGUUGCAUGACAUUUGCUUAAAAGGUGCAAUUGCAUCACUACCAGAUGGACCUGCGUUGUAUUAGCUAGUUGGUGAGGUAACGGCUCACCAAGGCGACGAUACAUAGCCGACCUGAGAGGGGGAUCGGCCACCCUGGGACUGAGACACGGCCCAGACUCCUACGGGAGGCAGCAGUAGGGAAUCUUCGGCAAUGGACGGAAGUCUGACCGAGCAACGCCGCGUGAGUGAAGAAGGGUGUCGGAUCGUAAAGCUCUGUUGUAAGAGAAGAACGAGUGUGAGAGUGGAAAGUUCACACUGUGACGGUAUCUUACCAGAAAGGGACGGCUAACUACGUG